rnacentral:rRNA from 1 species
CCGAAAGGCAGGAGUGCCUGCAAGGGAGCGCGGAGACAGGUGGUGCAUGGCUGUCGUCAGCUCGUGUCGUGAGAUGUUGGGUUAAGUCCCGCAACGAGCGCAACCCUCACCUCUUGUUGCCAUCAGGUCAUGCUGGGCACUCUAGAGGAACUGCCCCGGUCAACGGGGAGGAAG